ensembl:misc_RNA Metazoa_SRP Metazoan signal recognition particle RNA
GCCGGGCGUGGUGGCACGCACCUGUAAUCCCAGCUACUUGGGAGGCUGAGGCAGGAGAAUUGCUUGAACCCAGGAGGCGCGGAGGUGGCAGUGAGCCGAGAUCGAGCCACUGCACUCCUGCCUGGGCGACAGAGCAAGACUCUGUCUUGG